rnacentral:rRNA from 1 species
CCUACGGGAGGCAGCAGUGGGGAAUUUUGGACAAUGGGCGCAAGCCUGAUCCAGCAAUGCCGCGUGAGUGAAGAAGGCCUUCGGGUUGUAAAGCUCUUUUGUCAGGGAAGAAACGGUGGGGACUAAUAUCCCUCGCUAAUGACGGUACCUGAAGAAUAAGCACCGGCUAACUACGUGCCAGCAGCCGCGGUAAUACGUAGGGUGCAAGCGUUAAUCGGAAUUACUGGGCGUAAAGCGUGCGCAGGCGGUUUUGUAAGUCUGUCGUGAAAGCCCCGGGCUCAACCUGGGAAUUGCGAUGGAGACUGCAAGGCUUGAAUCUGGCAGAGGGGGGUAGAAUUCCACGUGUAGCAGUGAAAUGCGUAGAGAUGUGGAGGAACACCGAUGGCGAAGGCAGCCCCCUGGGUCAAGAUUGACGCUCAUGCACGAAAGCGUGGGGAGCAAACAGGAUUAGAUACCCUGGUAGUCCACGCCCUAAACGAUGUCUACUAGUUGUCGGGUUUUAAUUAACGUUGGUAACGCAGCUAACGCGUGAAGUAGACCGCCGUGGGGAAGUACGGUCGCAAGAUUAAAACCGUCGAAAAGGUAAUUAGGACGGACGUGAGACGUAGCCGACGGACGACGACGAGGGAGGAGG